UAAUACGUAGGUGGCAAGCGUUGUCCGGAUUUAUUGGGUUUAAAGGGUGCGUAGGCGGUCCUAUAAGUCAGUGCUGAAAUAUCCCGGCUUAACCGGGAGGGUGGCAUUGAUACUGCAGGACUUGAGUAAAGUUGAGGUUGGCGGAAUUGACGGUGUAGCGGUGAAAUGCUUAGAUAUCGUCAAGAACACCGAUAGUGAAGACAGCUAACUAAGCUUUAACUGACGCUGAGGCACGAAAGUGUGGGGAUCAAACAGGAUUAGAUACCCUGGUAGUCCACACUGUAAACGUUGAUUACUCGAUGUUGGCGAUACACAGUCAGCGUCUUAGCGCAAGCGAUAAGUAAUCCACCUGGGGAGUACGCCGGCAACGGUG
rnacentral:rRNA from 1 species